rnacentral:rRNA from 1 species
GACGAACGCUGGCGGCGUGCUUAACACAUGCAAGUCGAACGGAAAGACCCUGCUUUUGUGGGGUGCUCGAGUGGCGAACGGGUGUGUAACACGUGAGUAACCUGCCCUUGACUUUGGGAUAACUUCAGGAAACUGGGGCUAAUACCGGAUAGGAGCUCCUGCUGCAUGGUGGGGGUUGGAAAGUUUCGGCGGUUGGGGAUGGACUCGCGGCUUAUCAGCUUGUUGGUGGGGUAGUGGCUUACCAAGGCUUUGACGGGUAGCCGGCCUGAGAGGGUGACCGGCCACAUUGGGACUGAGAUACGGCCCAGACUCCUACGGGAGGCAGCAGUGGGGAAUAUUGCACAAUGGGCGGAAGCCUGAUGCAGCAACGCCGCGUGCGGGAUGACGGCCUUCGGGUUGUAAACCGCCUUCGCCUGUGACGAAGCGUGAGUGACGGUAAUGGGUAAAGAAGCACCGGCUAACUACGUG